CCUACGGGUGGCAGCAGUGAGGAAUAUUUGUCAAUGGACGAGAGUCUGAACCAGCCACGUAGCGUGAAGGAUGAAUGCCCUAUGGGUUGUAAACUUCUUUUAUAAAGGAAUAAAACGAGGCACGUGUGCCUUUUUGCAUGUACUUUAUGAAUCAGGCUCGGCUAACUCCGAGCCAGCAGCCGCGGUAAUACGGAGGAUCCGGGCGUUAUCCGGAUUUAUUGGGUAUAAAGGGAGCGUAGAUGGGUUGUGAUGGGAGUUGUGAAAGUUUGCGUCUCAACCGUAAAAUUGCAAUUGAGACUGGCAGUCUUGAGUACAGUAGAGGUAGGCGGAAUUCGUGGUGUAGCGGUGAAAUGCGUAGAUAUCACGAAGAACCCCGAUUGCGAAGGCAGCUUACUAAACUGGGACUGACAUUGAUGCUCGAAAGUGUGGGUAUCAAACAGGAUUAGAUACCCUGGUAGUC
rnacentral:rRNA from 1 species